rnacentral:misc_RNA from 1 species
GACGUAGGGCGCGAGCGUUGUCCGGAUUUAUUGGGCGUAAAGAGCUCGUAGGCGGCCUGUCGCGUCAAUCGUGAAAUUCUGCAGCUUAACUGUGGGAGUGCGGUUGAUACGGGUGGGCUAGAGUUCGGUAGGGGAGACUGGAAUUCCUGGUGUAGCGGUGAAAUGCGCAGAUAUCAGGAGGAACACCGGUGGCGAAGGCGGGUCUCUGGGCCGAUACUGACGCUGAGGAGCGAAAGCGUGGGGAGCGAACAGG